AGUUACAGCAUCUACAGACAGAGAGUCCAGAGCCCCAUGAAGAAAGACUCUACCACAGUGUGUACGGUAAUUCUCCCUCCGACCUUCCUUAAAGGGACCUCCAGAAAUUACUCAGGGUCGUACUUCAAAGUCAUACUUCUUACCCUUCUCUAAUUUGAAGAAAGCUUGGGCUAAAGGUUGCACAUCUUCCACUGGCAACUUAUAAACCAUCAGAGAGGAGUACCUGAGAGAAAAGGAGAGGUUUUCCUUUUGAAUGACUAUCACUCAACAUAACUGACAAGUAACAGUGAACAUUUGGUACCAUUUCCAAAACAGCAACCAUGUUUACCUUUCCUGCCGAGCAGCCUGGGGGAAAAGCCUCAGGAUCUCUGCAUGGAGGGGCUCCACUUGUGCCAGGUUCUUCACCUUCAUCUCCAGCAGGUAAUCUUUGCCAAAUUUGCUUUUCAGGUGUUGGAUGGAACCGAUACAUCUGGAGGAUGAGGUCAUAUGAGAAAGGAGAAAAAAAAAACCAUUCAGUAUGUUGUUUGAGAAACUUGAUUUGCUGCUAGCAUUGUCUCAAGGUCCCUAUUGUUAGACCUGGGCACAGUCAUUUCAGCUGUUUUCAGUGAUCUCUCCCUGCCACAGACAAAAAUUUCCAGCAAUGCACCUUGGGCUCAAGUGUGGGUCCAGGACAGGCACUCACCUCAACCUCCCAGAUACCAUGAUGGCCACUCGGUCACACACGGCCUCAGCCUCUGCCAUGUAGUGGGUGGUUAGGAGGGCACCCCUUUCCGUGUUUCUAAAGGUGGCCCGGAUGGCCUGCCUAUAAUGUCAAGAGAUUAUUUGCAAUUUAGGAAAUCCUCUAAUUAAUCAGAAAGAGAUAGAGAAAAGAAUUUUUAACUGGCAUGCGUGUGAAUAAUUAGCAAAAAGAGAUUAAGUAAAAGAGGGUUCUUAAUAGGGCAGGUAGGAUGAGGAAGGACAAGCUAGGUGAGAGCUGUUAAACUGGAAUCAUGCAUUGGAAGAGGGGCGUUUACAGAACACAACAUUCAUUAUAGGGUUGUGUUCAAAGAGAAGUGCUAAGCAAGAGAGGCUUGUUUGUGAGAAGUCUGUGUGAAGGGGAACAGAAUGACAUAAAAUUUAACAACAGCGUCUCACAACCUAGUGAGAAGAAAAUAAAAUGUACAGUAAACACGUACAAUGACAACCAUGUUUACACCUUAAUGAGAACUACUGUUCUCAUGCUAAGUAUGGAACACUACGUGAUUGUGAUCUAGAAAUGCACCUAAAAGAUCAGCUGAGCGCUUAUGAAACUCAAGAGUGAGACCUAUGGGCCCUAACAAUGGUAAUUCUUUCUUCAAUAAGAAAUGGUUGUAAAAUAUCAUCAGGGAAAGAUCUUUUUUUUUUGCAAAGUAUUGGUUUUACAAGUGACAUUGAUAGUUUUUUUGUUCUCCACAAAAGAGUUUAAGGGACAAUUUUUACAGAAGAAAAAUGGUUCACAGGCUCCAUGCAAGUCAUCCGUGCUGUCCCUGACCGUGGUAAUGUUCCUCACCACAUUUGCUGCUGCCCCUCGGGGUCCAUCCCGGUCGACGGCUCAUCCAGAAGCACCACUGACGGGUUCCCCAGUAUGCUCAGGACAAAGCACAGCUGCAACGGGAGGAACAGCCCAUCUGGUUCCCAUCUAUGGCACUUGCAGAGCAACACCAAGCCCUGCCCGUACCUUUCUCUUUAUUCCCUCUGACAAGGUCUUCACGGGAGACUUCAGCUGGUCCUGCAGCUUGAGCGCAUCCACUAACCUGAAGGAAACAGGAGAGUCGUACAGUCUUCUUGACAAGAGGAAAUAGAUAAGAGGAUAACCCAAGCAAGGGUGGAGAAGCAGAACUCAAAAAUGCAGUUCUGGAAAUACAUGUGGUCGGGGGGCAGGGAAGGAGGGGUGAUAUUACUGGCUGACUUGCUCCCCUACAAAAGAUAAUAUUGCUUUUUGAAGAAAUAGAAGGACAUGACAUGAUAUCCAAAUAGUUGUUCUAUGACAGUCCAAAUUUUAGUAUUUUCUAUACAUUUUAGCAAUGAAUAAUUACUUUUUAAAUUUUAAAUUUUAUUAUUAUUAUUUUUUUGAGACAAGGUCUGACUCUAUCCCCGAGGCUGGAGUGCAGUGGUGUAAUCUUGGCUCACUGCAGCCUCUGCCUCCUGGCUCAAGCCAUCCUCCCACCUCAGUUUCCCAAGUAGCUGGGACCACAGGUGCGCACCACCAUGCCCGGCUAAUUUUUGUAUUUUUGUAUUUUUCUUUUUAAUUUAGAGAUGAGGUUUCACCAAGUUGCCUAGGCUGGUCUGAAACUCACGAGCUCAAGCAGUCCACCUGCCUCAGCCUCCCAAAGUGCUGGGGUUAGAGGCAUGAGCCACUGCGCCCAGCCUUUUUAAAUUUUCUUAUUUAAUAUGAGAAAGAAACUUAAUACUUUGAUAUCCAGGAAAGGAGUUUCUAGUUGUAAAUCUACCCAGUGUGACCUGGGUCAGCAUUUAGAGUCUCCCAUCCUGAAUUUCCUGUGAGGGUCAUCACUCUCAACCUCCUCCACCCCUCCCUUGGGUAUAGAACAGAUGUGGCUCCUCUGUGUACCGUGUGAUGGCAACCUCAGCAUCCCCUUUCCUCAGCCCUUUCACGGCGGCGUACACCUCCAGGUGCUGCCUCACUGUCAGGUUGGGCCACAGCGCGUUCUCCUGAGGGCAGUACCCCAGGAACUCCAGGGCAUCCCCUCCACCGCUCCCUUUCAGUAGCACCUGCAGAUGAAAGUUCCCUCUCAGAACCUACCUUCUGCACUGCUUCUUUGAGUAUUUCCAUGACAUCAUUCUCUUCACGAACCUAGAAAAACUAGAGAAACUCUAAACCUCAUUGGGUUUAAUAAUCUGUAAUCAUUUUGCAUUGGAGAAAGGUUGUCAGAGAGCAAAUACAGGAAAAUAAGUGUGUCCACAGCCAACAAUCCAAUCUCAGCUGAAAAAUCCAAUAUCCCAUAAAUGUGGUGCCUGUCCAUCCUGGCCAACAGUUUAUAUCCAUUUUUUUUAAAUCACUGUCAAAAUGAAGCAUAUUGAUUGAAUUACUAUUUAACUUCGCUCAUGGAUCAACAUCUUUUGAGUACCUCCUAUGUAACAAGUGCUGUGUUGCCUGUGGGUACAGCGGAGGGUGGAAUAACUAGUGCUUCGUUAUCUGGAGUUUUCAUUCUACUGAAUGAAUCAGGCAAUAAACAAGUAGAGAAAUGAACAUGCAGAAUAAAGACAGAUCAAAAGUGGUGCUGUUAUGGAAAUUCAGGAGGCUGGGGUAAGAAUAACUGGGGAAGUGGCAGUAGGUAGGGUAAUUAGAAAGAGCCUGUCUUCUGAGGGCCAUUUCAACAAAGAGGAGAAGAUGCUAGUCAUGGAAAAAAAGGCAAGAGCAAGGAAUCUGGGGCAGAGCAAGAGCGAGACCAAAGCCCUGUGUGGGGAUGAAGCUUGAUGUGGAAGCUUGACGGGGAGGACAAAUAUGUGGCAAGAGGGACAGGGAAGCCAGUUCCUGCAGCUGCUUGCAAGACAAGCAGGGAUGUGUCCUUCCAGCCAUAGAGCAGCAAGCGUUCACUGAAAGUAUUUAAUCAGGAGAAUGCAUGGAUUAAAAAAACUCACGCUGGCUGAUCCAAUUAAGCUUAUUUUGUGACACCCAAAUGGCUGGCUUUCUACUUCAGGUCAGACUUACCUUUUACAAGAUUUCAUUCCAAUGUAUUAAUGAGCAGUUAUCUCCUUUCCUCCCAUGCUUAAUGAGAAAUAAAAUACUGACUUUGGGCCCAGGUGGUGACUGAGUUGGAGGGUGUCCAUGAUUGAAGUUAAGGACUAAAUUAGAGUUGGCCAAGCCACCAGCAGAGAGGUACCUUCAUGAACAUCUGCUCUCACUGUGGCUACAGAGGGAUUGUGAAUAUCGGUUUUCUCUUCUUUCAUUAGUGGAGUAUUUGUCAAUAGCAUUCCAAGCUGUCUUUUCCUUUCUUGGCUUGACUACUAGCCCCUUUCCCACGGUACAGUUUCACAGGCAUCUGCCUUAUAUUCUGUUCUGUACUUCCCUUGGACAUUCUUUGUAAAAGAGUUCUUAAGGUUUUCUAUCUUCUGCCAUAGAAUUUAGGAGAAAAUGUUUUAUCUCUACCCCAUGAUGUCUCUCUUAGAUAAACCUGAGCUCUUUUUCUGUUUGCCUAGCCACCUUAUACAACUAAAUUAGAAGUACAAUUAAAGUCAAUUUCACCCCCUUGUAUCUAA